CUUCCGCCUGGAGGAUUACCGAGGUCAGGGCCCAGAGUCCUGGGGGAGGGGACAGCUGGCAAGCAGGUGUCCAGCUUGGCAGCAGGCCCAUUCACAAGGGGCCUGGUGUGGUCUAAGACCCAGGAAUAUGGCCAUAAAGUAGUUAAGGCUCUUCUUUCACAGCUCUUUGGGUGACCAAUGGAUGUAGCUGGCUCUCUGAGCUACCUCAGGCCAGGGAAUAUUUUCCUAAACUUCAGGGCCCUGCCUGGCUGAGACUGCCCUAUGAAAAACUCCCCUUUCCAGGGCCCAAGGAGCCUUCUGUCCACCCCAGUGAACCUGACCCGGUCACUCGGGGAGAGCCAGGCCUGUGCGGAGCUCCCUGAGGAGGUCUCCAUUGCCCAUUUGUUCUGCAAGACUGGAACCGGAUUUCCUGAGCGGGAGCCCCCGGUCACCCUGCCCUUCUCUGUUACACACUGCAGGUCACCGUCGUGGCUCUCCCUGGCUCCAGCCUUGGCCAGGGAUGCUGCCAAGGCCAGCACAGCGCUCCCAGGCAGCCGCUGCCAGGGUGCAGAUGCCUGCUGACCCAAAACCACCUCUGGAAAUAGCUCCUGACGUUCAUCCGUAAGGGGGGCUGCCGGGCGCCCUGUUACCACAGGGGCAGAGCCUGGGAAGGUCAGGGUUUGCACACAGAGGGCCCCUGGAGAGCUGUCCAGGGCACAUCCCUGCAGCCAGUCACAAGGGGAAGGCAGAGGAACUUAACAGUGCUUGGGAAAGCAGGAGACGCUGGAAACCCAUUUGGCAAAUGAAUGAAGAAUGAAUGAAUACAUCCAGAGCAAUGUUCCAUUUGGCCUUGAAACCGAGUUAGCUGCAAGACAGAGUGAAGCCCCAGAAGAGGAACUCCGGCUCUAAGUUUCCCUGGAGCCUGGUAACUUCUGCUCUAGAUCUGUUCCAUUAGAGGAGCUGAGCAAGGUGGAAGACGGCUUAAGCAGAGGCCGCCUGCCGACUCGAGUGCAGUGGCACCCAGAGAACUGCCUGAGCCCGGCUUGCUCCUUGCUCUGCCCUGGGACAGAAGAGUGCAGACCUCACGGAUGGAGGGAGCCUUCAGAAUCCAGCACCCGAGCCAGGUGCUGCAGGAGCUCUCUCCUUCAGUGGGUGCUCUCCUUAAAGAUAAGGAAACCGAGAGCCAGAGAGGCGACCUCCAGCCAAAGUCACACAGAUGACAUCUGGUUGACUGGGACAUAGGCAGAGGUGACCGGCUUCAGUCCCCAGGAUUCUCCAAGUCUGACCUGGGACAUCAUCCAGGAGGCGAGUCCUUUAUUUAAUUCCUGGAGGGGUCAGGUAACCGAGGACGGGCAAGGUCUGGGUCUUCAGCCAGGCCAGGGACAGGAAGCGGCAUCUAUUUACAGGCCGGAGUGAGUCCCCGUCCAGCAGCAGGUGAUAAGUAGGCACUUCAAUAACAUGCUGCCCUCCUGGGCAGUGACAGGCUGAUCCGGCCUGGGCUGGCAUCCGGGGUGGCUACUGUCCAGACCCAACAGGGUUGCUGGGGAGACGGGGCUGGGUGGGCAUUGGGGGUCCAGGCAGGUGACCUCUGGGGGUAGGGCCAGCAAGGCAGAGGUCAGCACAGGCCCGGGUCCUGGCUCCCUCAGGUCACAAAUAAGGGCACCUAGCUAAGCAGGUGGUGAUGAAGCUUUGGGGUGAGCAGGAGAGUAGGUCAGAGCCACAGGGGACAGCACAGAGCGUGUCCUGGCAGGCUGUCCUGGAGGGUCACUGAGGUCUUGAAGUUGGAAACUGAUGACGCCACUGUGCCCUUUUCUGGGUGGGCACUGAAACUCUCAAAGGAGCGUGCAGGCAUUAUUCUUAGUUUGACAUUUCCAGCUGCCACAGUUCCUGCCUGGUGCCAGAUCUCUGCAGGCCUUCUGGGAUCUGCUCGAGGCCCAGGAUGGCUGGAUGGACUGCCACUGGGAUGGACAGCCUGGGCAGUGGGAGAAAUGUUCACCUUGCUGCAGAGGCGGCCUCCAGCUCCACGAGCAGCCCCAGAGCAGCCUCCUCCAGGGAGCUGGUCUAGAUCGAUGGUUCUCUGAAUCAUCUGCUUGGGCUUUCUCUAAGAUCUCAGCGGGGCACCCCUGGUGUUCCUGUCUGACGAGGGUCACCCCAAGGCUGACUCCUGGUCUGAUACUCCUGGGCACCCACAUGCAUUGCCAGGGAAAGGGGGACUUCUCACCUGGGCAGUAGCAGCGCAACACCCCGGGCUGAAUCAGGGACGCAGGCACUGAGAUCUGGUCAAACAGGCAGCUGUAGUUAUUGCUGGCUUCUUGCCACGGGCCUGUGAUGAGGACCUUCACUCCUCCCUGGAGGGGACAGAGGGAAACAGAGAUAAAGCAGGAGCCACCAAGAAGGUCCGGGGCACAGGGGAGGUCCCUGCACCCUGUGCUCAGACGGGGCGGGAUCAAGGAGGAUGAAACCGUGGCCACCUGGAGUCGAAGGAGGAGCCCAGGAGUCUGAGAGUCAAUUUGCAGACCACAGGAAGAGGACAGGGGGCAGCAGUCCAAUCCUGACCCUCAGGAGGUCCUGCAGCCUUCCUAGGGGAUGCCCAACAGCCCUGUCCCAAACAACCCGGAGUUCCAGGCAGCAGAGAAUCGAGUUUUUCAACCUUUUCAGCCCCAGACACACCUGAGGAUGGACUAGUUAGCCCCGCUCUCAAGGGAACAGAGGGGACCCUCUACCAUUCUUUCGAGAGACGGGGCAAACUCCCAGGGCCCGUCAAAGAGCAAGUCUGAGAAUCUUAGUGUCAUCCCAGGAGUCAGAUGUUCUCCUGGAGAAUGGAGGGGACCCCCCCCCCAGGAGCCCCAGGGCCAUGGCUGGCUAUGGUGAGGGGAGGGCACAGUGAAGAGAAGGGGAAGACUGUAAACAGAAAAACAGGGGGAAGGCCUCCGAGUUGGAGAGGGACAGAGACUGCCCAGGAACCAAGUCUGGGGCCAGCGUGGGGACUGGGCCUCCGCGACCCGUGGUGCGCGCGCUCAGACAGAUGGGCCCUCGAGGGCGCGCGCACAUUGGGCACGCGCAGCGCCGAUCCUACCGCCCAGUCCCGAGGGGCCUCAGACGACCGUCCCCAGCUCCGGGGAGGGACCCCGGCCGCAGGGGACCCCAGCACCCAGGGUGGGAGAGCAUCGCGAAGCCUGCGCGCUCCCCGACCUCCGGCUUGGGCCAGCUGGUGCCGCCGGGCCAGGAGGGCGAGAACUCACGUCCGCACGCGCGGGCAGCCCGGUGCAGGCAGGGCCCGGGUCCCCGCCGUGGGGAACAGCACCUCCACUGUCGCCCAGCCCGGGCGCACUGAGGCGCUCGAGGUCCCUCCCUUACUUACGGCUGGUGGAGGGAGACUGUCCCCGGGGAUGCAGAGGGCGGGGGCGCUGGCCUCUGGCUCUCCUGGCUAACCUUGGGUGGACCCACCCCAGAGGCUCAGCCACCCCACCCCCAAGUAAACACCUUUCCCCCGCAGGGGGGCGGAGAGCUGCGCUGGCCAGGGCGGAGAGCGCCACCUGGCGUCCAGGCUGCAGAAGGCUGAGAGGCGCCGCCGAGAGCAGCCCAGCCGAGCUCCCCUUCCCCCUACUGGGGCGAAAGGGCCUGAACCAGGUUCCCCGCGGCACCCCAAGGCAGCUGGCACGGCCUACCUACCUUUCUUCCUUCUUUCCUUCCUUCUCUCCUUCCCCUCUUCCUAACUUUCCUCCUUCCUUCCCUUCCUCCCUCUGUCUCUCUCUCCUCCUCGCUCUCUCUUUCAUCAUUCUUGAUCAGCCCGUCCCUGGCUUUGUCUACCCUGCUCUACAGGGCCCCAGCUUGCGCACAGAUACUGCUCCCCACAAUGCACCCCAAACCUGGCCCUGGCCCAGGUCCAGCCCCUAGGGCAGCUGCGGGGGUUUCCACGGACUUGCUUUCUGGCUGCAGGGCUCCCCUGCUCCUGGAGCUGGCAUGCUUUGGGGGAGGUCACUACUCCAUGACCCAAGUUGGGAGGCAGCAGAGAGAGCUGGGACUGGGUCCGAAGCAGGAGGCCUGCCCUGCUGUCAGUAGCUGAAUGUCCUAAGGCCAGUGGACCAAGGACACUGAUCUCUGCCCACAGAUGCCCAGCUGGGAUGUCCAGAGGCAGUGGAGGGCCAGCUCCGGCGUGACCCUCCCUGAACCUGUGAAAUGGAAAGGCUUCCAAAGGCCACUGACAAUUACCAUGUGAGAGAAAAAGGGACAAAACAUAAUAACCCCGAUCCACAACUGCUGGCCUGGUGCUGGGGCUGCUGUGGGAACAAAGGGCUGCAGAAAUUACUGGCAAACAUCAAGACCUUUUCCAUGGAAACCACCGCAGGAUGCCUCAGCAUCCAUCAGUUCAGGGGACGGUUCCCAUGGCAACCACUGCCUGGCUGUGCUGAAUGGGUGGUGACGUGCGCGUGCCUGGCAGCUCUAAUUGCAGCUUCUUGUGCCUGGUGCAGCAGGAGCCAGUGGUGGGAAGUGACGCAGGAGUCAGGUGGGGGUGGGGAGGGAGCAGCAGAUGGCAUCUGAGGUCUCUGUGCCUUGGGAGUCCCGAGAUGACCGGGCCUAGUUCUGAUGCAGCCAAGACAGAUGCUGGGGCAUGGGGGUGCCUCUGGGAUGUGGUGUGUGUGCGUGUGUGUGCAUGCGUGUGCACACGUGUGUGUACACAUGUGUAUGCAUGGGUGACCAGCUGCCCCUGGAGUGAAGAGGUGAAGAGAGAACGGGCAGCAGCCGUGGAAGGACACGAUGUUUGUAGUAGAUCCAGCAGGAUGGCCCAGCCAUGGUGCCCUGUUACAUGGAUCCCUGGGGACUACUGAGGUUUUCAGCUGGGUGGGGACCCAGAGCAGCCACUUAGCCUGCCCCCAGGUUCGCAGACUAGAGUGAGGCCCAGCUGCAUGCCCUGCUGCAGAGUUUUCUAGGAGCUUGCACAGCCUCGCAGGCAGGGGCUCCUGAUGCCAUCAGUGCACAAACAGGAUUCCCUUGCACAUCCCGCUGUGAGAGGACACCCAUGUCAGGGGCAGGAUGUGCCAUUGCUUGGAGAGUAGAGUACAGGGUGACCCCUACUUUGGCCUGGCCUCAGUGUCCAGGGUUGGAGAACUUGGCAAGGAGGAAGUGGCUGUCAGAGCCACUGAGACCUUGGAGGCUUCAUUGCAUGGCCACCAUGGGGACCCGGAGGACCAUUUUCUAAAUCAAACUGAUUCUAAGAUGCUUUUGUGUCCUGGUGAGGGAAGCCUCCAGUCUUUCCAGAAAAAACGAUUGGAUGCACCUGAAAGCCUGACUUUUGCUGUGCCUGGGCCGCCCCCACGUGGCAAGAUGCAGAACCGCCUCUCCAAGACGAUGUGCAGCUGCCCAAGACCAGAGGGUGGGCCCAAGGAGGCCGGGAUACUGUCCUGGGCCCCCAGGGGCCGCAGGACAUGCCCCAGGAGCCCUAGGGAGGGAAGGGAGUGCUGGCCAAGUCCACAGCCCUAAGACAUGGAGUGCUUUGAGUCCCCAGCCUCCCAGCUGGGCACCUCUGAGAACACUGUGACCCAGAGUCAGGUCUUGAGUAGCUCAGCAGACAUCUGUGCCUUCCCACGACAGCCAGUCCUCUCCCUCCCUCAGAGCCCCUCAGACUGCUUCCCUGAGCCUGGGGAGGGGCGAGUACCCCGAGGGUUAUUGCUCUAGGUUUCGAGACAGGAAGGUUGUGAACCAGAUUUGAAUCCAGACCACUUGGCCCACAGUCCUGACCAUAAGCAUGUGGCAGGCUCUCUCCGAGUGUGUGUGUGUGUGUGUGUGUGUGUGUGUGUGUGUGUGUGUGUGUGUUGGGGAUCAAACCCAGGGCCUAUGCUUUGAGCUAUAUCCCCAGACAAUCUUUUUUAUCUUUAUUUUGAGACAUGUUGUGGAUUGCUAAUUUGCCCAGUCUGGAUUCUCCUGCCUCAGUCUCCCAGACUGCUGGGAUUGCAGGCACAUGCCACCACGCCAGGCUUCCUGUCCAUGUUUAUAUGCAUGUGGGCAGCAGCCUGUGGGCAGUAGCUGGUCUCUGUUGCACCUGCCUUCCUUCCUGGAUGCCCUGCCCGGAGGCUGGGCUAUUAUCUCUGGUGCCACAGCAUCUCCGAGGGCCACUGUACACAGAUCCUUGUGUCUUAACUUUGCCUGAAGGAAGGUGAUGAAGGACGGUCCUUCCUUAGGGUCUCCCAGCAGCAGCUGCAGCAGCCCUUGCCCUGGUGUCUGGGGAAUAUGGCUGUGGACCCCAGGGAGCUGUGAGCAGCCACCUCCUGGGGAGGGCACCCAGCCUCAGGGGACAGCUGCUCUGCCAGUGCCUGACAGGCAGGCAGGCCAGGAGGAGAAGGGAACACUGGCCCUGUGCAGCAGAUAUAUAGGGAACUGUGACGCCACGCUGUCCCCUUCCUGUCCCAGUCUGCUUUGGAGAAAAAGCAGAGGUUCCUCUUUAGGCACUGGGUCCCCUGCCUGUGAGCCCGGACUCCAGCACUCCUGCAGGGCUGGGCUCUGCAGCAGGGAUUCCCAAAGUCAGAUCUGCAGGGCCCACGGGGUGGGGUGGAGUGGGAUGACAUGGUUGGGACCUGGGUUGCACGAAGGUCUUGGAUGUCACGAGUGGGUAUUCAGAAGCUGCACCCUCCCUCGCCGGUGUGAUGUGAGAUGUUUGUUUGGUUCAGUGAAGCAACAGAGGAACAGUGGGCACAGGUGACCUGGUUAGUUAGGAGGUGAUUCCUGAAUGUUUUUAUAGCAACCCUAGAACCCUUUUCCAAAAGAAGAUGAUGAAGAAGAAGACAAAGGAGAAAAAGAAGAGAAAAAAGAAAAGGCAGAAAGGAGAGAAGUAAGGGAGGAAAGAAGGAGGGACGGUAGGGAAGGAGAAGGAGAGGGAGGGGCGGCUUCCGGGCAGGGCUGCCAGGAGCCCUUUGCCUCCCGCUCCCCCGCCAUCCCCACCUGGAAGCCACUUUCUCUGGUGGUUCUCAGUUUGAGAACCACUCAUUUGGGCCAGAGGGAGGGGACAGGUGUGACUAUCAUGCAGCACUUGCUGCAGAGGCAGGUGCUUUCUGUCUGGCUGCCCAGUGGCCCGGGACCGGGAUAGGUGUGGGGUGCACCAUGGGGACGUGGCGGUCACAGCAGCGGGCAGCUUACCUCAGGGUAAGACCACUCGGGGGAGUAGUCGGUCACCAUGAACACCCGUCCGCUCUGCUGCAGCAUCCCCAGCGAGCCUUGGGCCGAGGCGGCCGAGACCACCUCGGCCACGUGCAUGUAGGCCGUGGUGCCGGCCCCACCCUCGGCGCUGCUCAGCUGCAGGGUCCCCUGCUGGGGGCUGCAGCACGGAAUGCACAGCUCCGCCUGGGUGAAGGGCGCUCGGGCCCCGUCUUCUGACUGUGAGAGCGCUGCGCUGUCCCCCGACACCAACUGGUGCCCGUAGAUGGUGCCACUGCCCCCCUCCACGGAGAUGAAGUCAUUGAUCAGGUCGGAGAACUGGUUGCCGAAGGAGAUGUCGAAGUGGUCCAGGUUGAGCUCCAUGUUGGAGCUGUUGCUGAGGCUGGGCUGGGCCACCGGGUAGAGUCCCUGCACCACAUUGCUUGGGAGGAUGGGGACCCCGCCGGCGCUGCGGAUCACCCCGUUACUUUCAGGCUGCAGGUAGUGCUCCGAGCCACAGGCCUGCAGCUCCCCGGAUUUGAGGAGGACCUCACCUCCUUCGGCUGCCUGAGAGGUCUCCAUGGUGACCUCCCCUUCUGCCGUCAUGGCCUGGAAAUUGGCCUGGAACUGCAUGAGGUGCAGGGAGGACGUGGACUCUAUCCGAGUCUCCACGUGGCCGCUGCAGGAGCUGGUCUGGGACGAAGCCUCCGUUUUCACUGUGGGCAUCACGAAGCUGCCCCCGGAGUCGCUCAGACUGCUGUGGGCGGUCUGCUCGAGGGGGAGGGGUUUGCUGGCAUCCUGCAGGAAGAAGCUGGGGGAGGGGGUCUGGUGGAUGUGGGGGCUGUGGCCUGUCUGGCUGAAGCUGGACGUAUAGUCUUUGUUGGAGUCUAUGGCACUAAAGUCCAUCUGCUCCAGCGUGGUGCUGGGACUCAGGCCGCCGCCCGACGGCAGGAGGCUGGAGCCGGCCGACAGGGUGAGGGAGCUGGAGCCUGAAGCCGCGGCGGAGGAAGAGUAUGCCUCCUUGGCCAUCUGCUGCUCGAAGGAGGUAUCCUCUGUCUUUAUCUCCUUGGCGAGGACGCUGGUGAAGCCGAAGCUCCGCUCGCUGGCGGGCGGUGAGUGCCGGACGUUGGAGCUGACCAUCUCAGCCUUCAGGCCCCCGCCCCCGUAGGUCUGGCCCUGCUUUGGAUUAUUGAGGAAGCAGUCGGGGUCAAAGUUCAUGGUGGUCUCCGGGAUCUUCCGGCCACCAUCGAGGGUGGUGGAGAGGACCAGUUCUUCGGACACGUUGGUGGGCAGCAUGGACAGGCUCUCUGAGCUGCCCGUGGUGGGGAAGGCGAAUUUGUGGCCGUCGGAGCUCACAGCCAGGACCAGGCCCUGAGAGGCAUCAGGCGAGAGGAGGUGGUGGUUGGGGCCGGAGGUGGGGGACAUGGUGUACACGGCCUCGUUGGUGACCUCUGACAUGAACACCGUGGCACUUUGGGACAAGCCCCCCAUCACAGAGGCCACCGCCAUGCUGGACACGCCUGUGACCACGGGACUGUCCACCAUGUCCGGGUCGCUGUUGAGCCCGCUGCUGAUGGACACGGGGGAGCUCUGGGUGGUGUCGGGCACUUCCACCUGGUUGGUGGAGGACACCUCGGUGCUGUUCUGGUGUGGCAGCGCUGGCUUGGCCACCUUGCCGUUCCGCUUCUCGCGGCCGGCGCCCUUGCCGUGGCUGGGCUCGUGCUUGCCCUCCGACACGUCAUUGUGCUGCACCUCAGCGUGGCUCCCGUAGCCCCCCGACCGCGGCUCCACCUUUGGCGAGAUGAUGCGGUGUUUGGCACUGUUACACUUGUGGUGCAUGCUGCUGCCCGCUCCUGUGGGGAUCAGAGCACCGCACACGCACACGCAAUGUACAUACACACGUGCAUUCACACACACAGACACAGACCACACACAGACACAGACCGGGUCAGAGCUGGGUCCCUGGCGAACUCCCCGCCUGGUCUCCCACCCCUUGGUCCCUUGGCUCCUAGGCCAGCUCAGCCUCAGUCUUAGGGUCUCUCAUAGCCUCUGUGACCCUCCCGCAAAGGCUGGAGAGCCUGGCACCGGCACUGGGAAGGCUUGGAAGGUGGGUGGGUCUCCCCCCACCUCCCGGAAAGUCCCUUCAGCUAUCAGAGACAGACGUCUGCCAACUGAGGGUUCCUGCUGGCGGGGGCAGGUGCUUAGCCCAGGGUUGGUGGAUGUGUCCCUGCCCCUGUGUGUUUCCUACACAGUGCUCUAGGGCCACACAGUGCUUGAGGAAGCUCUAGUAUUUCUGGUGCCCCAGUAAGGACCCCCACGCUCUUGGACCUAGAAGCCAGGAGUUGGCAGGUGCAUGUGGAGAGGACGCACUCUGCAGAAGCAGCUCUCAGUCCCUGCAGGGUGUUCUAGGUUCUGCUCAGUUGCAAAAUGGUACCUGAUGCCUUCUGUCCCCAGUUUGGCUGAACCUGGCUGUGCUCAGCUCUCUGGAGCUCUUCUAGGUCCCAGGCAAGGGCAGACACAGCCCCAGCCCCCCUGGUUCAGAGGCAGGAGGAAGACAGCCCGGAGCGAGCCUUUCGGCUGUGGGCUCUGGGCAGUCUCGCUACAGCGCCCUCUCUGCGGCCUGUGUACCUACUCUGUGCUUGAUUUCAUUCCAUCCAAUAAGGGGUCAUCUCGAUUUUGAUGAAAGGUGAACUCUUCCCCAUCCAACCCUGUUACAGCCGCACCACUAAGACUCCUAAACGCACAAACACUGUGCAGGGGAGUGACCUGGUCCAUGGAUGGAAAUACCCAGCCAAGGGAGUGGAGAGCCACAUUUCCCAGAGCAAAUACCAUUAUGGGAAAAGCAGAUAAAGAGUGAGUCACCUUCCAUGCUUGGAGGAGACAGAGGUUAAAGAAAGAUGUUUAGCUCGAGUGGGUCCGUGGAUUUGGGGGCAGAUGUCCCUGAAAAACCACAGGGCCAGGCCACAUGGGCUUCCUGCUGAGGACGCUGGGAGUGCAGGUCCUGGCAGGCACUGGACUCUGCGGUCUAUGCCUCUUCCCCAUUCCUAGUGGAAAAAGCCAUUUCUCCAGAACCGCUGUCCCUCCCCGGAACUGGCGUGCAGCGCGAUUGGUGCUGUGGUGCCACCCUUUCCCCGCUCCCCAGCCGGGUCGGACGUGUGUGCCCAGCUCCCACCUGCCCCACUUGGCUCACCCAGGCUACCCGUGCACAGGCAGUUGUGGGUCCGAGGCUGGGGCUUGGUCUGGUGGCUGUCGAGGAUCUGUUGUACCAGCUGCUCCACCGAGAAGCCGGAGCUGCUGUUGCCAUUGCUGCAGGUCCACUUGAUGCCGUGGACUGCGGAGAGGGCAGAGACAGAUGGGGUGUCAGAGGCAGGCCCCGGGACCCGGGGAGGGGGCGGCUGCAGCAGGGAAAAGAGGGGGGUUGGGAGCUGCUCCACAGGGAGCUCUGGACCCUCCUCCUGCUCCUCCCUUCCCUGUCCCCUGAUGCAGUCAGGAGUAGGUGGACUGGAAGUCUGCUUUUGUUGCCCCAUCGUUCAAGGGCUCACAGGGGCUCCUCAAGGGCCAGACCCCAGGGCUCUCACAGAGGUCCCCAGCACUGAACUGGAGGAGCCCCACCGUGUCCUGCACUCCACAGACUUCUCUCCCCCAGGAGGUGCAGGAGACGAAGAGACUGACCCUAGGGCCAGGACAGUGGGAGCAUCAGGGCCCAGCCUGGGGAACAGCCACCCUGGGGUUUCAGCUUGACCCCGGAUCCCUGCAGUCUCUGAAAUUGGGUAGCGGGUCCCGGAUGGGUGGCAGGACAGGGCUAGGGGUCUAAAAUCAACUGGCUUACUCUGCCGAACAUGUGGCCACGACAGACCCAGCCAAGAGGGACAGAACCCCAAGCCAUGCACAGGUGGCCCAGCAUCCAGGCUCCAGGGGUGAUGCACCCCACACUCUGGGCCUGGCCUCCAGGAACAGGAAGGGGCAGGAGACGGAGGGAAGAGACAGUGGCUUCAUCAGCAUGAGAACAGUCCACUUUCUCCUUUGGCAGCAACACCUCACACAGGGCUCCAGAGAAGCAGUUUGGGCCCUGCCCUGGGGCUCCAGUGAGGCCACAGGGCCAGGCUUGCAGAGGGAGCUUCUUACUGAGAGACCCAGCGGUAGCUCAGCCGGGGAAUUUGGGUGGCCCAUCUCCACGGUGGUUUUGUCUCUGGCCUCUGGGUCCUGGCACACCUUCAUUUAGAACCCUGUGUGUGGUUCAUUUCCUUCUUCGUGUGCUGCCCACCUGGACAGGUUUUUGUCCUCCCCCCUGCUGUCUAUCUGGGGCUCCCCAGAGGAACCAGUUCUCCAGCUGCCUGGCCGCUUGGCUCCUGCCCAUCAGGCUGGGCUGGAUUUACUUCCUGAGUUCCUCGUCCCUGGGAGCUGGAAGCCUGGCUGGGCAUUGUGAAGCCUCAUCCUGGCCACGGAGCGCUUUCCCCCAGCAACCCGCUGCCUGGAAAUCCAGAACAGACCCCAGACAGCACAGAGAGGCCAGGCUCAGGGGUUGUCCCAUGCUCAGGACCUCCCGGGGUGGAAGAUUCUUAGAGACCCAUUUUACAGAAGAGGAAAGAGAGGCUCAGAGUGGAGAGAGGAGAGCUCAUAACCCAUCCAGGGGCCAGAGGGCAGGAUGCGGGGCUUCCUUGACCUGAGGCAUAUACAAUGUCCUCCUCCAGCUGCCUGUCCUCAGUCCCUUCUGUGUCCAAGCCCUAGCCCUGAGAGUCUGACGUCAUGGGCUGGGGUGUCCUGGGUACUUUUUAACACCCUCUGCUGCUAGGUUGAGAGCACAGUGCUGCUCUGAAUCUAAAGGAGGGCCUUCAGGGCCAGGAGCAGAAGCACCUCUGUGCAGAGCCCCUGCCUUAGGGGACCCUCAGCUGUCACCCCCAGUUGUCAGGCAAAGCCCUGCUGGAUUUGAACCCAGCUCUCUGGACAGAUGAGCUGUUCUCGGGGCAGCCCCAGGGCCGGCUCCAGCCUCCAGGCAGCACCCGGCCCUUGCUAAGCCCUGGCCUGGCCUGGCGGGAUCUUUGGGUGUUUCCCACGAGGCACCUCUGCUCUGAAGACGGCGGCUGCUAGGUCUCACUUCUCCUGCCGCCUUUGGGGGGUAGGGGGCGCAGGGACUGCGUCCUCUCUGCCUCUUGCUGUGAAGAUUAUAAAAUGAAAACCCAGUGCAGGGUGGCAGACUGCAGGGAGACAAUUUCUGGAUGCUUGAUGCAAAGGACCCACGGUCGUGGCCCAUUCAGUGGACAGAUUGUCUCCUGCCCCCUGGGUGGGGCGGGAAGAAGCGCCCCCUCCUCCCCGGUGGGCCGUGGUGAGUAGUGAGUAUCAAGGGCCUUGGGGUGGCAUUGACCCUUCAGGCUCACCUUCCCGACAGGUAAUGAAUCGGCCGGAAAGGAGGGUCCUACAGGGAGGCAAGCUCGGCAUGAACCCCGGGUGCCUGGGUCGCAGCUGUUUCUCCUGUUUGUUGCAUCUUGUUCCAGGCUCAGAGCCCGCCUGGCCUGGGAGGGGGCCUAAGCAUUGUAGGUUAGCUGAGCAAAUCCCAAUCAGAGGGACCCUUGACUCAGCUACCGCUGCAUGGGGCCUGGGUGGCAGUGCCUGGACAGGGGGUGGAGAGGGUCCCGGAUGAGAGAGAGAGAGAGGAGCAAGCUCAGGGCGGCCUAAGCGGGCCCCAGCAUGGAUGGGCCCCUGCAGGAUGCCGGCCUUCAGGAAGGCCACCAGGAAGCAGGAUGUUGGGCCCUAAAGCGCUCCCUCUUGUGGGUCCCCCAGCAGCCCAGCUGAUGUCCGGACACUCACAGCCAGCGGACUGCACUGCCUUUGACUGGGCGUCUGAGCUCCGGCGGGCAGAGCUGGGGCUGGGGGUGGCUGCCGCAGGAAUCCCCAGCCCGCUUCAGUGCUGUCCAGGGUCCCUGAAGAUGUUUACCCUAAUUAUGACCUGCGGCAAGGCAGCGGCGCCUCCACUAAUAUGAAUAAUCAAAAUGAAAUCAAUGGUAGCAGCAUGUGGCCCUGCAUGGGAGAGCAUCUUCCCAUGAGCAAUUUACCCAAGAGGCGGCCGGCCGCUGGGAGUGGAGGGAUUGAGAUGUGGAAGGGAGGGCCAUGAGAUGUGGGCUUCACCCCACUCGGGCUGCUGCCAGCCAAGGGCUCCUGGGUGUGGAAGCCGCAGAGCCAGGCCCGGCUCCUGUCCCUGCACUGGGCUGAGCUGCGUCCUCCAAAUUCACAGGUCGCAGUCUGAGCCCAGCGUGAGUACACCUGGAGAGCGGGGCUUUCAGGAGGUCACUGAGGUUACACGAGGUCACACGAGAGGGACCCUUAGCCAAGAGGACUCGAGGCCUUAGGAGUCUCGGGUGCCCAGCAUGGCGAGGAGGCCACGUGAGGAUGCAGGAAGACACUGACCAUCUGCAAGCCGGGAAGAGCAGCCUCACCAAAAGUGAACCCCAGAGUCACCUCGACCUUGGGUCAGCCUCCGGAGCCGUGAGCUCAGCCAGUGCAUUUCUGUGGCUCCCGCGACACUCAGCUGGGCAGCGGCGUGGUCUGCUGCUCUAACAGGCAGGAACCCCUUCCCCACAGCCCUGGAGGCCAGGGAGCCCGAGUGAAGAAGGAGGAGGCUCCUGGCACGGGUGUUCUGUUGCAUCCUGGCAGGGCGGAAGUGGGGAGAGGAAGAGCCCGUGCCAAGGAUCCCUGUCACCGCGGCACUGAGCCACCAGCCAAUGCCUGCCACGAACCCUCUUAGACGGUCACAGGCAGACAGUAGAUGCUUAUCGAGGGCUGGUGGGAUGACUAAGUGAAGGGACCAUUUCUCGAUCAUGUUGCAGUUUCUCCUAGGUGGUACCCACAGGGUGCUAUAAGCAGAGUUGGUGCCCCUGUGAUAGUAACCACGGAGAUGGUACUUAGUGAAUGCAUGUCUCGUGCCAGGCAGUGCAAAUUUGGACAUCAUUACAGAAAUAAAUAACUGAGAAGUCCCUGAACCGGAGCAUGGGCUCUGGUGGCAUCUGGGCUGUGUGCUCUCAGGCUGUGGUCCCCACACCCCGGCUGUUAGAGGGGCACAUUCUCAGGCUGGCCCCAGAGGCUCUGGCCCUGGCUGCCCAAGCUGACUUGAGCACCAUGACUGGUGCUGCCAUCUCUAACCUGGCAGUGGUCCCAGUGGCAGAAUUCUGGAGAGAGCAAGACUCAGAGACACAGUGACUCCCGUGAGGUCACACAGCAGAUAAAUGUGGGGGGCGCAGAUUCUAGUCCUUUCCUCUGAGCCACCCCUGGGCCUGUGUCCCCCGGAAAUGGUCUGCUAGGAGCUGGUGAGGGAAGGCUGGUGGCUGUUAACGGGCAGAGGGGAGAAGCGAUCGGGCCAGGAACUGAGUCCCACCAAGAGCAGAGAGAUGCCACUCGCUGGAGAGGAGCCCACCAGCCAGCUCAGCCUCUAGGGCGGGCUGGGGACACUCUUCUCCAGUGGGGUGCAGCUCUACUCCCCACCCCCUCUGCCUAGGAAGGUUGAGAGGAAUCAGUACCGAGCACUUCUGAAUGUGUCUGGGUGGCUCGUGGGGCACGACCUUGGGGACAGUACCGGCUCCUUGCCCCCUUCCUGUUGGUCGAUCCCGUGUGCGCUUCCUGGCUGCCGUGAGCCGGGCCAGUUUCCUUCACCACCCCUUGAUGCUGCUUUGGAGCCAGCUGACCAUGGGCUGAAUGCUCUGAAAACGUGAGUCCACAUAAACGUUUCCUCCUCUAAGUGGCUGGUGUCGGGUACUUUGGUCUAGCAGCAGAAAGCUGACCAGCACAGGAGAGCGUGGGCAGAAGGGAAAAACACCACCGUCCCUGGUUCCUCCCUCAGCUCACCGGGCCAGGGGAGCAGCUGGGCCACCUCCGACCAGGCCAGGAAGACAGAGUGUCCAGGAGGGGCUGGGAGGAGCAGGAAGUGUGCCUGGGCUCUGGGGAGAUCCCUGAGAAACACCAAGGUCCUGAAGAAAGGGUUUAUCCCGGACGCUGGGGGCUUGAGGGUCGGCGUGUGGCCCCGAGACCAGACUCCUUGUCUGGGCCUCCUGUCGCUGCAGGCAGGGCGGGGAUCUUCUGGGAGACAGACUGGGGUGUCACAGAGGCCACAUACUUCCACUCCUCAUGUCAUUACACUGUGCUUUCCUGAGGGUGGCACGAACCCCCUCCCACGUCCAGAGGCAUGGGGGAAGAAGGGCUGGAGUUCAGUCUUGGGGAAAGCUUUGAUCUCUGGGUCUCGGUUUCCUUAUCUUUAAAAUGGGUGCUGUUUCUGCAUUCACCUGACUAUGUGUCAUCAGUUUCCAAGGGACAGCGGGACACACAGAUGUGUGGAGUUUAGCCUGGGUGGCCUCCACAGGACAUUUGACGUGGGCCAGGGUACAGGGUCUGGACGUCUGCUCUGAAGUCAGGCUGGAAGGACUUUGGAAAAGAGUUUUGGGAGGACAGUCAGGAAGACCUCGAGACCAUGGCAGCCCCAGGAACUGGCAGGAGCUAGCCAGCUGCCCCCUGCACUCGGAGGGGCAGUAACUUCUGGAAGGAUGACAGGGCAGCCGGCUGGAGCUUCAGUCUCCGCAGUGAUGACACAGACAGCCCCUUCUGCGAUCGCAUGUGGCCUUUCUUUGCAUGGGAAGAGAUUUCUUGGCACUGUGGGGGAGCAGGUGACAAGGACAAGUCCCCAUCCUGAGGCCAUCCAGUGCUUCUGCUCAGUACCUGCUACCCAAGAAAGGCCUGUAAAGAGGUGACCAGUUCACUUGUCCAAACUAUGUCACCAUGGAAACAGAAAAGAGGAGCUGUGAUCCUUUGUCCAGGCGAUGAUAUAAACGGGGGGCGCUCCCAGGCCAUUCUGGAUGUGGGGUCACUUUACUUUACCACGUGAUGCAGGUGGUGGGAGAGGGAGGUGGCUGCAAGCCCCUGAAGGAGUGGACGGGAGUCCCCUUCGGAUUCCUGCAAAUUGUUGACACUGGAAGGCGGUCGCCAUAGCGACAAGGUCAAUGGGAAAUGGCAGCCGUGUUGGUUUAAUUUUCACUGUAUUCUUGUUGACAGGAAUAAAGGCCCUGCGUCUGA